GUAGUUUGACUCCGUGGCUCGAGGACGACGCUGGCGGCGUGCUUAACACAUGCAAGUCGAACGGAAAGGCCCUGCUUUUGUGGGGUGCUCGAGUGGCGAACGGGUGAGUAACACGUGAGUAACCUGCCCUUGACUUUGGGAUAACUUCAGGAAACUGGGGCUAAUACCGGAUAGGAGCUCCUGCUGCAUGGUGGGGGUUGGAAAGUUUCGGCGGUUGGGGAUGGACUCGCGGCUUAUCGGCUUGUUGUGGGUAGUGGCUUACCAAGGCCUUGACGGGUAGCCGGCCUGAGAGGGUGACCGGCCACAUUGGGACUGAGAUACGGCCCAG
rnacentral:rRNA from 1 species